rnacentral:rRNA from 1 species
UGUUUCGGCUAGGGGGCCAUCCCGGCUUACCAACCCGAUGCAAACUGCGAAUACCGGAGAAUGUUAUCACGGGAGACACACGGCGGGUGCUAACGUCCGUCGUGAAGAGGGAAACAACCCAGACCGCCAGCUAAGGUCCCAAAGUCAUGGUUAAGUGGGAAACGAUGUGGGAAGGCCCAGACAGCCAGGAUGUUGGCUUAGAAGCAGCCAUCAUUUAAAGAAAGCGUAAUAGCUCACUGGUCGAGUCGGCCUGCGCGGAAGAUGUAACGGGGCUAAACCAUGCACCGAAGCUGCGGCAGCGACGCUGAUGCGUUGUUGGGUAGGGGAGCGUUCUGUAAGCCUGCGAAGGUGGCCUGUGAGGGUUGCUGGAGGUAUCAGAAGUGCGAAUGCUGACAUAAGUAACGAUAAAGCGGGUGAAAAGCCCGCU